rnacentral:rRNA from 1 species
AUACGUAGGGGGCGAGCGUUGUCCGGAAUGAUUGGGCGUAAAGGGCGCGUAGGCGGCCCGGUAAGUCUGGAGUGAAAGUCCUGCUUUUAAGGUGGGAAUUGCUUUGGAUACUGUCGGGCUUGAGUGCAGGAGAGGUAAGUGGAAUUCCCAGUGUAGCGGUGAAAUGCGUAGAGAUUGGGAGGAACACCAGUGGCGAGGGCGACUUACUGGACUGUAACUGACGCUGAGGCGCGAAAGUGUGGGGAGCAAACAGGAUUAGAUACCCUGGUAGUCCACACUGUAAACGAUGAAUGCUAGGUGUAGGGGGUAUCGACCCCUUCUGUGCCGCAGUUAACACAAUAAGCAUCCCGCCUGGGGAGUACGGCCGCAAGGUUGAAACUCAAAUGAAUUGACGGGG